UAAUAAUAGUAGUAAUAAUAAACUCUAAACGUUGGUCUAAACUGCAGCAGUGUCGCUAGGCUUGAUGUCAACCAUUUUGGUGACUCAUGGGUUCACCUCAAGGCAAUGCUAUAAUACUAUCAAUGAUAGUGCCAGCCUUUGGGAUACAGCAGCCUCUACAUGGGUCAGCAGAGGUGCCUUGAGGCAAUUGCCAAUUCUGCCUUAAGGAAGUGUUGACCCUGUUGAUGUCACCCCUUCGGAUGAUGUUACCCAGUGAAUUCUGCCCCAUCCGUUAUGCCAGAUAUGAACAGCUUUAAUUAAAAGGUACACUCCAGACCCCUAAAGCAAAUUAGCUUGCUGACGUGCUCUCUGUGAAAGGAAUGUGAAUUUUAUUUUUUUUUAACACAAAGUGCAGAUUUCAAAUCAACUAUGACUAUCAAGCAAAAAGCAGGUCCUGUUACUACCUUGUUGCUUAGCUCAGUUGAGCUAAACUCAAAAGGGAGGCAAUUGUUCAGAGCACCUGCCUUGCAAAGACUACUCAAUGAGGUGCAUUAGUAAGUCUAUAAUUGGACAGCCACAGAAAAUCUGGUCUAGGUAAGAAGGUGACGGCUUGCGAAGGCAGCAAACGAGAUAUAUUCUGCUUUUGCAACCUGUUUUAGAUAUAGCUUGAAUGAAAAAUGCAUGCAAGUUUUAACUUGGGGUUUAUCUACUAAACAGUGAUUUGUAUUUAUUUUGACCGUGCAGUGUCCCUUUAACUCCUUAAGGACACAUGACAUGUGUGACAUGUCAUGAUUCCCUUUUAUUA